UGUGUAGUGCUUUAGUGAUUAAAGCUUUUGGCUAAUGAUCAGAAGGUUGUGAGUUCAAAUCCCAGCACCACCA